rnacentral:misc_RNA from 1 species
UCCGGCUUAUCACCGGCAGUUUCCUCAGAGUUCUCAGCAUAACCUGUUAGCAACAGAGGAUGAGGGUUGCGCUCGUUGCGGGACUUAACCCAACAUCUCACGACACGAGCUGACGACAGCCAUGCAGCACCUGUGCUCCUCCCACCCGAAGUGAAGGAGCCCAUCUCUGGGCCCCAUAGAGGGCAUGUCAAGGCCUGGUAAGGUUCUUCGCGUUGCCUCGAAUUAAACCACAUGUUCCACCGCUUGUGCGGGUCCCCGUCAAUUCCUUUGAGUUUUAAUCUUGCGACCGUACUCCCCAGGCGGGGUGCUUAGCGCGUUAGCUACGCCACCGAAGGUCAAACCUCCGACGGCUAGCACCCAUCGUUUACAGCGUGGACUAC